AAUUGUAUUUCAGCUGUCUGAAGCUCAUUUGUGGAAGCCAAAUGUGUUUUGCAAGUUGAACCUAAAGAGCAGAAAUUAAUCAUGCAUAGGAAUGCAGUCAUUUCCCAUAAACUGAAUUAUGUGAUUUUGAUUAAUAAUUUGUUCUGAAUGUCUGUGUUUUUAAGGAAGAGUUUCUAAGCAGUGUUCUAAGAAGGCAAGGUAUAUAAAAUCCUAGGUGGCAUAAGUGUGAGUUUUCUUUGGGGACAUGGCUAUGGGCAUUGUUCCGAAUUGCCUAAAAAUGUACUUGCUCUCACUUGUAGGAUAUGAGUUUGAAGUGAGAAGAAGAUUGCUACUACUCUGAACUCUGUACAUUGCUCAGAAAUUGAGUGCCCAGCAACCGUUUUGCAUUCUGCCCUAGCUCAGAGACUCCAGCCAUGCAUUUACCA